GGAUGUGAGGGCGAUCUGGCUGCGACAUCUGUCACCCCAUUGAUCGCCAGGGUUGAUUCGGCUGAUCUGGCUGGCUAGGCGGGUGUCCCCUUCCUCCCUCACCGCUCCAUGUGCGUCCCUCCCGAAGCUGCGCGCUCGGUCGAAGAGGACGACCUUCCCCGAUAGAGGAGGACCGUUCUUCGGUCAAGGGUAUACGAGUAGCUGCGCUCCCCUGCUAGAACCUCCAAACAAGCUCUCAAGAUACUUUCCACAUGCUGGUUACUAAAUAAAUGAAAGGAAGACCAGAAUUUUUGGUUUCUGACCU
ensembl:misc_RNA 7SK 7SK RNA